AUUGAAUUAAAUUGAAUAAUGAAAUAAUAAACCGAAUUACCAAAGGAAUGAAUGUGAUUGCCGAACCGAAAUGCAUCAUGGGGAUGUAAACAAGAUAAUCCGCCAAAAUGGGAGAACAAAGACAAAGGGAGAAAAGCCUGUAGAUAAAGGGAAAUACUGACCCCAGGAUCAUGAGCAUGUGGCCCAGGCUAUGCCGAACUUGUAUAUGGCCUACUUGCAUUGAACGAUUGGUGCUAGAUGUAAACGGUGUACACACUCAGUGCCUAGAGAGUCUAAGACGUGUAGUGGGCUCAAUGUUUCUGCGACUUGUGACUGAGUGCCAACUUGCAUCAACCUAAUGUGUGGUUAUUUCAUCAAGGGCGGAUCUAAAUGUUCAAAGUUGCAGGCAAUGAGGCUCCCUGAGAGUUCGAGAGAUCAUACAUGCAUUAUGGCCCGUCAGUCCUGAGACUCGCAAACUAGUGUGUAAGAGAAAGCAUCUGAUCCAACAAGAAGAUCGUGUGGACACUGACAGAGUUGUCAUUUUGAAAUGGCAACCAAUGCCCUCUGACAGAAGAUGUAUACCAGAACUCACAUUGGAGAUACUUGAUAGCAGAAGCUUUGGAUAAGAGUUGCCUUGGAGAUGAUUAUUGACGAAAUACCUAGUUUUUGAAAAAACAAUGCAUUAUAGGAAAUACGGAACUUAUAUUAAGUCACAUUAGCACUAUAUUGUACCUUUUUGUUAGACACUAGACAUUUUUUUCAGAACACUUGUUUCUUGUGAAGUGAAGCACUAAUAUACGUUCAUGUGAAGUUCAUCGCGAAUGAUCAUCUGACAUAUUCUGAUAUACUCGACAUUUAACAAUUGUUUCUGUUGAGUCUAUUAAAUUAUAUUUACAACAACAGUAAUCUCAUAAAAUAAAUUCACGAUCCAGUGAUCGAACCACUAGACUGUUAGAAUGAUAUGUAUUUUUGCUAUGCAUACAUUAUGUGAUAUUAUGUUUAUGGAUUCCUGUAUUGUUGGAAACACAGUUGGCAGUCUAGAAAAAAAUAUUUUUAUGCAUAAAUGAUUUGGGCAAGGAAAAGAUAUAUUCACAAACGCGAUUCAUUCACUUAACGUAAGGCACUGUUUUGACUUUAUCACGGCAUCAUGUACAUGAUACCGCUUUGUGAAGUCAGCACACACUUUUUCAAGUGUGAAGCUUGACACAUAGAGCACAUGGUAUUGACACAGCUACUUCAUCACCAAAUACACAAUACCGCUUUGUGAAGUCAGCACACACUUUUUCAAGUGUGAAGCUUGACACAUAGAGCACAUGGUAUUGACACAGCCACUUCAUCACCAAAUGCAUGAUACCACUUUGUGAAAUCAGCACACAUUUGUUCAAGUGUGAAGCUUGACACAUAAAGCACAUGGUAUUGACACAGCCACUUUUUCACCAAAUACACAAUACCGCUUUGUGAAGUCAGCACACAUUUGUUCAAGUGUGAAGCUUGACACAUUAAAUUUAUCCAAUAUACAUGUUGAUACAUAUUCAUAAUUUUUUUUUUUUACAUUUCUAACAUAACGUGUCCACCUUCAUGAUUAUGUUCAUUAUUGGCACACCUUUUCAUGUAGUGCGUUUUUGUUAUUUUAUCUUCCAAAGCUGCAAUGUACAAAUAUUAUUUCUAUUUUUUUUAAAAACACAUUUUACCUGGUAUUUGUAUAAUCCAUAUUCAAAUGUAGCAUUAAAGUUUAAAAAUUUCCUGCUAAUUUUUGUAAUUGUCACAAAAGCAUGAAUUAAUCUUUGUUAUGUUGUUUCACCAUUUUGAAUUCUGUUGUUUUAUUGAAUAUAUGUACUAAGUAAAUAUACAAUGUUCAAAUAAUUGACAUGAAAUUGGUGUAAAGUAAAUGUAUACUAUGUUCAAAUAAUAGACAUGAAAUGGG